GACUUGCUCGAAAUAAGUGUUAGGUGUUGUAAAAUGGUAGAAAGAGGUAGUUUUUCUUUCUACAUUGCAAAGUUUUAUACAUUGCACUGGACACUCCUUAGUCCUUCCACAGAUUUUUAAGAAAUAUUUCUGCUCUAAGAGGUUCCUUCUGAUGUACCAUUUAGAUAAAUACAUCUCUCCGUGAAUAUAAUUCUCAUGUAAAAUUAAAUCUUUUAACAUAUAUUGGUUACAUGUGCUGACUACAGGUAAACAACCAGAUAAUGGCAUCUAGAAAGGAGACUAUUCAGAGCCCACAAGCCUGAUAAGAACAAACAAACUAACCGAGCUUAGUUUGAUAGUUCUGAUCAAAUCUUAAAAGUGUGAGCACAAGGAACAUAUCAGUUGCAUAUACAUGAACAUGGAUAAAAGGAAACAAUAAAGUACCAUGAAGCUGCUUCUUUAAGAACAAAUAGCAGCCCACCAAGUGGAGCCUGAAAAGCUGCAGCUACACCAGCAGCAUCACCAUUAGAACCAAUUAAGGCUUAUUGAGAGAGUUGGUUAUCGAACAGUUUCAAAUAUUAUUUAAAGGCAUAAUAGUAUCUUCUUGACAAAUUUAUCUAAUGUGUGUUCAGUGGAUAUGUGGCUGAAAUAAGGAAGAGAAAAUCGCAGGGCUGAAUCCCCUAAAAUGGUAUUAGUGAAAAUACAUGGGAGUGGCUGCGAGGAUCACUUGAUGUUCCUCAAUUCAGGUGGUGGCGCUGCACAAAUUGUGUUCGUGAAGUUGUCCCUUCUACCAGUACUGCUGCUGAGGAAAUAUUGACUGCUGAAUAGACGACUUCUUUGCAUUUAUGUAUUCCUGGAAUGGAAGAAGAGUCUUCACUUGAGGUCAGAGCUUCGGGAGAAUCUCUUGGAGGAGAUGCUAUUAAAUCUCUUAUCGAGGCCAUAAGCAUGGAUGAUAGUGAUGAUAAAAAGCGAAAUCCCUUACACUUGUGACCUAGAAAUACUAGCAACGGUGGCACUGGAAGAAAUGGAUUCUGAUCUUCCUCCACUGCAGGAAACCUGUCCAAGAUCAAGUGUGGAAGUGGAUUCUUCAUUUGAGCUAAGAACUGCAGUUUUUGGCCUGAAGCUAUUGUACAAGAGGGUGACAAAGCUCUGAUUGACGUGGUUGACUUGGUGGACAGUGAAGACAAAAGCGAGAUAAAAGAAGUCCAUUCACUGUAAAAACAUAUGAAGAUGGAAGAUAAGGGGCAUCAGCUAGAAGAGGUGCCACAAGUCAUACUCCACAAAAAGGGAAAAUGGUUAAUCUCUAACACAAAGUUGAUUUGGAGCAGAUAUUAUUGCAGGAAACCCUGAUAAAGAGCCAGUUGUGAUCAUCAUAUAGAGGGAGUGCCUCAACUUAUAUUCUGCAAGAAAUAGAGAAAAGGCCUUCUUUUUGGACAAGGGUAAAAAUAUCAUGACUGAAAUUCAAGGUAAUGUCAGACUUCUCACGCCCUUUAUCCAACAAAGCUCUAUAAUCUCUGACACAAGCCGAGUAUUGUUGGAGACCGAUAAAGCAGUUAUUGAGGUCUUAAUCUAUAACACAAGUCCAUUGGGAACAGAUAGUAUUGCAUGAGACCCUGAUAAAGCACCUGUUGAGGUAAUCAUCUUGGAUGACAGUGACGAUGAAGGUGUACUUAAAAGAACCCAUUCACAGAAUCAAGAGCUCACAAGGGUGAAAGAAAAGGUAUCAUCUGGAGUAAGUGGCACAACUAAUACUCUUCAAGAAGCAGAGAAAAGGCCUUCUUUAGACAAAGGAAAAGAGUUCAUCAAACCUCAAGGGAGCGAAAAGGCAAAGAGGUUUUGUCCUUUCUCGCCAAAUAGAGAAGCAAUUUCAAUAAAGCAAUGAAAAGCUACUGGUAAGUAAUCUCAACCUUGUGGACACUGUUACCUUUUUAAUUGUUAAUGAUGAUUGAUUACACAUUGAGAGUUAUGUACGGUGAUAAGAUCUUUUGCUCAACAACUGUUGCCCCAGAGCAGAAGAAAAUCAAAUGGUGGGAAACCAACGUGUUUUUGUUCAGACAUUGACUAAGGACAGCAACAUGUCAACCAUGAAAUCCUGGAGCCUGAUGGAAGUGGGGAGUUCUUUAGAAGGCCCGUUACUUCCAAGGGAACCAUAAGUUGAGACUGUCGAGUAUCAUGAUCCGUUUGUUUGCUUGAUGUUAACAAGCAUGGGUUAGAAGUUGGUGAUAUUAGAGUCGAUACAUUGAUGUUAUUACAAGGUUUUUCUGCAAGAUGUUGUUUGCAGUUUACAACACAUUUUUUGUCCGGAAAGAGGGGAUGCUCUCUGUAUAUUGUUAUCCAUGUUUUGCUGCAUCACAACUAAUUUGAUUUUGCGAUAGAUGAAAAGUGAGCCUAGGCCCUGAUCCAAGCCAAACGUGAACAAAAAAUGUCCAAAGCAGAGUAAGUGAUUAUGACUUUUCUGUUCUGUAGACAAGUUCGUCUUCAUUUAGUAUUUUGUGUGUUUAUGAACAUUUGAUUUAUCUUGUAUGUCUACUGUGCAUUUUCUAUUCAUGGCUUCCAUUUAGUAAUUGCCCUUCAAUUCAAGGUCUUAUUUCUUGUGUAUUUGAGCUUCUUAGGAUAAAGAUGAGAUAAUGACAUCUAAAAUAUCAUUAUUCAUAUAUGAUAUCAGCUUUGUUAUUUAUGUAUGCUCGAUCACUUAUAUCUGCAUAUCUUUGUUUUAGAAUUUUUUGAAAUUUAUAGCCAGAUUACAUUGACACAGCUGCCUGGGAUAGUGUUUGCUCAUGAAAUAUUGAAUACAAGCGGCCAAAUUCGAACACCUAAAUUGGCCAUGCUAAAGUCAUUCGAGGGGAGCAUGCACAUUGAUUCAUUAUCGGCAUCGAAGAAAGCGGCGUACAUA